GAUGAAGAACGCAGCGAAAUGCGAUAAGUAAUGUGAAUUGCAGAAUUCCGUGAAUCAUCGAAUCUUUGUACGCACAUUGCGCCCCCUGGUAUUCCGGGGGGCAUGCCUGUCCGAGCGUCAUUGCAACCCUCAAGCGCGGCUUGUGUGUUGGGCUUCGUCCCCCCGUGGACGUGCCCGAAAGGCAGUGGCGGCGUCCCGAAUGGUGCCCGAGCGUAUGGGAACUCUCUUCCGCUCGAACCGGCCCAUUCGGCGCUGGUCGAACCCCAAUUUUUUUUUACCGGUUGACCUCGGAUCAGGUAGGGAUACCCGCUGAACUUAAGCAUAUCAAUAAGCGGAGGA
rnacentral:misc_RNA from 1 species